rnacentral:rRNA from 1 species
CCUACGGGAGGCAGCAGUGGGGAAUCUUGCUCAAUGGGCGAAAGCCUGAAGCAGCGACGCCGCGUGUGGGAAGAAGGUCUUCGGAUUGUAAACCACUUUCAGGAGGGAAGAAGCGAGAGUGACGGUACCUCCAGAAGAAGGCCCGGCCAACUACGUGCCAGCAGCCGCGGUAAUACGUAGGGGCCAAGCGUUGUCCGGAAUUAUUGGGCGUAAAGAGCUCGUAGGCGGCCCAACAAGUCGAACGUGAAAUCUCAAGGCUCAACCUUGAAAUUGCGUCCGAUACUGCUGGGCUUGAGGCAGGUAGGGGAAAGCGGAAUUCCUGGUGUAGCGGUGAAAUGCGCAGAUAUCAGGAGGAACACCGGUGGCGAAGGCGGCUUUCUGGGCCUGUACUGACGCUGAAGAGCGAAAGCGUGGGGAGCAAACAGGAUUAGAUACCCCGG